rnacentral:tRNA from 2 species
GGCCCAGUGGCUCAGUUGGUUAGAGCGCCGCCCUGUCACGGCGGAGGUCACCGGUUCGAACCCGGUCUGGGUCG